UCGAGAAUCAUUCACAAUGGGGGAAACCCUGAUGGUGCGACGCCGCGUGGGGGAAUGAAGGUCUUCGGAUUGUAAACCCCUGUCAUGUGGGAGCAAAUUAAAAAGAUAGUACCACAAGAGGAAGAGACGGCUAACUCUGUGCCAGCAGCCGCGGUAAUACAGAGGUCUCAAGCGUUGUUCGGAAUCACUGGGCGUAAAGCGUGCGUAGGCUGUUUCGUAAGUCGUGUGUGAAAGGCGCGGGCUCAACCCGCGGACGGCACAUGAUACUGCGAGACUAGAGUAAUGGAGGGGGAACCGGAAUUCUCGGUGUAGCAGUGAAAUGCGUAGAUAUCGAGAGGAACACUCGUGGCGAAGGCGGGUUCCUGGACAUUAACUGACGCUGAGGCACGAAGGCCAGGGGAGCGAAAG
rnacentral:rRNA from 3 species